UACGGAGGGUGCAAGCGUUAUCCGGAUUCACUGGGCUUAAAGGGAGCGUAGGUGGCUUUGUAAGUCAGUGGUGAAAUAUUGCGGCUCAACCGCAAAACUGCCAUUGAUACUGCUUAGCUUGAAUCACGUCGAGGUGGAUGGAAUAAUACAUGUAGCGGUGAAAUGCUUAGAUAUGUAUUAGAACACCGAUUGCGAAGGCAGUUCACUAGGCGUGUAUUGACACUGAGGCUCGAAAGCGUGGGGAUCAAACAGG
rnacentral:rRNA from 1 species